AGAGAGAGAGAGAAUGUGUGUGUGUGUAACUGGGUCAGUUCAGGUCACCACUCUUUCAUUCCACCAAUCAGGUAAAAGAGUGGAAGGGGCUUAUUUGAGGGGAAUCUGUCAUCUUACUCGAAUUUGAGUAUAGCACAUAAUUACAAGGAAGCACUGUUAGGAAGGCAAAACCUGUCAUCGACAUCAACAUCCCUCCAAGUUUUCGUCACUUUCUGCCUGUCUCGCUAGCAAUCUUAAGCCUGCAGCAGCACCGCCACGGAGUUCUAUCCUGCCAGUACAGCAUCUCACUCCAUCCACUGUGUCUUAGUAAAAUAUGUGGUAGCAUCAUCAUCAUCAACAGCAUUGAUAGUUGUGGUGGUGUAAAUCACUGGCCAAGAAUCAUGAGAGAGGAACAUGAAGAGGAGCGGGAAGUGUUGGAGUCCAUCUAUGAGGGAGAUGACAACUUCUCUGUGAUCAGCCAGUCAACUUUCCAAUACAAAUAUGGUGAGGCAGGAAACAAUAAAUCCUUCCUUGUGGAAAUCAGCUGGGGCCCAGAAUACCCAGAUCAGAUCCCCACCAUCAACUUGGACCUCUUCUAUAACAAACACUUACUACCACCUGUGAAGGAAAAGAUCACCGAAGAGCUACAGAAACAAGCUGAGAUCAAUGUUGGCAUGAGUAUGACCUUCACUUUGUUUGAGUGGCUGAAAGAAGCAAAGGAUGAACUACUGGAAAGUCAGCCUGAAGAAGCCUCUGUGCCAGUCGUCUCUGAAAUUAUCACAGACUUCGGGAGGAUAACAGUUGAAGACUCAGCAACGGGAAAGAAAGAAAAGAAGGAGCAGUUAACAAAGGCUCAGAAGCGCAGGAUGUGGGAUCGCCAGAAUGCUGCUGGGGAACGAGCACGUGGCUACAACUGGGUGGACAUUAUCAAGCACCUCUCACAGACUGGCACCCCAAAGAAUGAUGGAUAGCACCACAACCACCAGUACCCAUUUACCUGUCAAGUGCACCUCACCACCAUUCUUGCUGACUCAGAACAAACUACUGACUGGCUGCUGAAGUGGUGACCAGUAAUCUACAUUUAACAGCUCAUCAACUCAAGGAAAUGGUAUCCUUUUCUGUGUGGCAAAGACUUUUGGUGGGAUGUGGUCACACUGCUGUGUGUAUGAAUGGACUGUUGUGUGUGUUGUGUUGUAAUGAUAUAUGAGUAUAUUACCCAUUGGUGUACAUGUGUAUUUAUAUAAAUCAAAUUUAACCCUAGAUGAAUUCCUA